rnacentral:piRNA from 2 species
UUCAGAUUACAUUUGAGGUCACUAAUUAC